UAGCUCAGUUGGCAGAGUGCCUGCCUGGCAUGCACAAGGUCCUGGGUUCAAUCCCCAG
rfam:Ictidomys tridecemlineatus contig005634, whole genome shotgun sequence.